rnacentral:rRNA from 1 species
CGUGGAUCGAUUUGUCUGGUUUAUUCCGAUAACGAGCGAGACUCUAGCCUACUAAAUAGUAACGGAAUUACUAUUGUUCCAGUUGCUUCUUAGAGGGAUUUUCGGUGUUUAGCCGCACGAGAUUGAGCAAUAACAGGUCUGUGAUGCCCUUAGAUGUCCGGGGCUGCACGCGCGCUACACUGGCGAAAUCAGCGUGCUGUAUCCAUUCUCGAAAGGGAUUGGUAAACCCAUGAAAAUUUGCCGUGCUUGGGAUCGGAAAUUGCAAUUAUUUUCCGUGAACGAGGAAUUCCAAGUAAGUGCGAGUCAUCAACUCGCUCUGAAUACGUCCCUGCCCUUUGUAC